GUGUAUUAGACGCAGUGUCUCUGUAUAGUGAAUGCAGAAUGUUUGAAUGUAUGGUGGAUGUAGUGUGUGUACUGUGAAUACAAGAUGUUUGUGUAGUGGAUGCUGUGUGUUUGGUUAAUGCAGAGUGUGUGUCAGUGUAGCCAAUGCAGAGUGUUUGUCAGUGGAGUGGAUGCAGAGUGUGUCAGUGGAGUGGAUGCAAUGUGUGUGUCAGUGGAG